rnacentral:rRNA from 1 species
UACGGGGGGGAGCAAGCGUUGUUCGGAUUUACUGGGCGUAAAGGGCGCGUAGGCGGCUCGGAAAGUCGGGCGUGAAAUGCCGGGGCUCAACCCCGGGACUGCGUCCGAUACUUCCGAGCUGGAGGUAGGUAGGGGAGAUCGGAAUUCCUGGUGUAGCGGUGAAAUGCGCAGAUAUCAGGAGGAACACCGGUGGCGAAGGCGGAUCUCUGGGCCUUACCUGACGCUGAGGCGCGAAAGCUAGGGGAGCGAACAGGAUUAAGACUACCGUAGUCA